rnacentral:misc_RNA from 1 species
GUGAAGAACGCAGCGAAAUGCGAUAAGUAAUGUGAAUUGCAGAAUUCAGUGAAUCAUCGAAUCUUUGAACGCACAUUGCGCCCUCUGGUAUUCCGGGGGGCAUGCCUGUUCGAGCGUCAUUAUAACCACUCAAGCUCUCGCUUGGUAUUGGGGCUCGCGGUUCCGCGGCCCCUAAAAUCAGUGGCGGUGCCUGUCGGCUCUACGCGUAGUAAUACUCCUCGCGAUUGAGUCCGGUAGGUCUACUUGCCAGCAACCCCCAAUUUUUACAGGUUGACCUCGGAUCAGGUAGGGAUACCCGCUGAACUUAAGCAUAUCAAUAAGCGGAGGA